rnacentral:tRNA from 1 species
AAGAUCUUAGCUUAAUGAAAGUGUCUGGGUUGCAUUCAGAAGAUGUAGGUUAACAUCAUACAGAUCUUA